UACUGUGAAUAAAUCAUUUAUAGUUUAUACACUCGUAAACUAUAGAACGAAACAUAUAUUUAUGUAACGAUCCUCUUCGAAAUCAUGAAUAUCAUGGAUCGGAAUCCUUUAUUGUAAUAUCUGAUAACGGUUAUGGUUAUAUUGCUAAUUAUUACAAAUAACCUACAUUUUGCUAAAACCAAACGUUGAUGUGUACGAUUUGAAUUUUGCAACACUUCAAAUAGUCUGCGGUGAUAAUACAUGUACAGUUUGGGACACUGGAAACUAAGAUCAAAAAUCUAUCGAUAAUAGUAAAAAAUAGUUCUAAGAAUCAUAGCUGGACCAUGCGUAACAAGUAUCACCAUUUCAUUGAAAUUUGGAUUAAAGACGAAAUAUAAUACAUGUUACUUAAGGCUACACUUAACUGGAGGAGUCUCCACUAUGAAUUGGGACAAAAACGAAAAAUAGCUUAUUGAAAUCUCACCUUCAUCAACAUUUCCAACUGCUUCCUUUAUG